rnacentral:lncRNA from 1 species
UAAGGGUGGUAACGAUCCUUACUGCAUUCUCUUUUAGUCUGCGCACCACUUGAUUCAACCUUCUUCUUGGGCUGACCAUUGUCAAGGGAUUUCUUCACUACAGAGCCAGAGGGAUUUGUUACUUCAGAUGACGGAGCCUUUUCCUGAACUUUCUCCUUGAUCAUCCAGCCCUCAAUCCUUUCUAAUCUCUCGGCCAUGGCUUUCUGCCCCAAGGCAAGCCCUUGCACAAUACU